CAAUGCCGCGUGAGUGAAGAAGGCCCUAGGGUUGUAAAGCUCUUUCACCCGUGAAGAUGAUGACGGUAGCGGGAGAAGAAGCCCCGGCUAAUUCCGGGCCAGCAGCCGCGGUAAUACGGAAGGGGCUAGCGUUGUUCGGAAUUACCUGGGCGUAAAGAGCGCGUAGGCGGCUCUUCAAGUUAGGCGUGAAAGGCCUGGGCUCAACCUGGGAACUGCGUUUAAUACUGGAGAGCUUGAGUCCGGGAGAGGGUGGUAGAAUUCCCAGUGUAGAGGUGAAAUUCGUAGAUAUUGGGAGGAACACCAGUGGCGAAGGCGGACCACCAUGGCCCGGAACAUGGCGCUGAGGCGCAGAAAGCGUGGGGAGCAAACAGGAUUAGAUAUCCCUGGUAGUCCACAGCCGUAAACGAUGAGUGCUAGAUGUCGGGGAGCUUGCUCUUCGGUGUCGCAGCUAACGCGUUAAGCUACUCCGCCUGGGGAGUACGGCCGCAAGGUUAAAACUCAAAGGAAUUGACGG
rnacentral:rRNA from 2 species